GCGUUGUCCGGAAUUAUUGGGCGUAAAGAGCUCGUAGGUGGUUUGUUACGUCCGCUGUGAAAACCUAGGGCUUAACCCUGGGCUUGCAGUGGAUACGGGCAGACUAGAGGUAGGUAGGGGAGAAUGGAAUUCCUGGUGUAGCGGUGAAAUGCGCAGAUAUCAGGAGGAACACCGGUGGCGAAGGCGGUUCUCUGGGCCUUACCUGACACUGAGGAGCGAAAGCGUG
rnacentral:rRNA from 1 species